CCCAGGGCCCACUUCCUCAGGGUGAGCACCUCCUGGGGUAGCUCACGCUUCAUGCCUUUGCUUGAGUGCUUCUGCACAUACACGACUGGGAUGACCCCUCACAGGAUGUGUGCAGGGAGUCUGUGUAGGCUUCCGUGUACCCGCCCGGGAGCACCGAUGGCGCCAAGUGGCUGCCAAACCCUGGGCUGAGAACUUGAGCUUGAGCUCAUGGCCAACAUGAUGAACCAUGGCGCACGAGUCACAAGGUCUGGAGGAAAUGUGCUCAUCCCAGCUGUGAUUCAGCGAGAUCUCAGAGGCAGGCUCGUUUUCUUGAAGGCCCGUCAAAGGAGUUGGUGGGAAGGGAGGGGGCGGCGUCGCCAUGAUCGCAGGGGCCACAGGCUGACCGUGGGCGGGCCCCAGAGGCCGGCAGGCCCCCAUCGGCUGCAGACACAUCCUCCACCAGAGACAUCCUGGAGCUGUGCUUGGCCUUCGAGCAGCCAGUCUGCAGAGAGAACUCGAGGCUUCUGCUGGCUCACGUGGAUCUGUCACAGAACGCAUCUUGUCGUCACCGCCAACGUGGAACCUCGAGCCUUGGGAGGUGGGACUCUCUCCUCCAGGGACACGCUUUUCGUACAAGGUUGCAAACCCUGGGGGUGGAGGAGGUGCCUUUGGACAACAGGGGUUCUCUGGAACCGCUCCUCCUGCCCUCCACGGGCUACCCCAGAGCCACCACACCAGACUGAUAUGUGUGGGGACAGCUGGCAGCCACCCCGAUCCCGCGGCCACCCUAACCUGGUGGCCACCCUGACCCCAUAGACACCCUGACCCCGUGGCCACCCCAACCCCAUGGCCCAGCUGUAUCGGCGUUGCUGGGCGAAGGCAGAGGCGACUCAUCCCAACUCUCCCACCCCAAGCGGGACCUCUGUCCUCGCCAAGUAGCCACUGAGUCCCAGAAGUGCUGCACCCCCAGGCUCCGGGCCUCGAGAGGAUGAAGGGUGGACCUGGACACCUGUUCCUGGACGCUCCUACCACCCUGGCAGGGAGUCCAGGCAGCUGCAGAGACAGCCGCCAGCCAGCCAUGUAGACAGGCCACCCUGCAGGUGAGCCCUCCAGCCCCGGCCGCACAUGAGGAGCCAUCCCCACCAUCCCCGUGGAAACAUCAGCUCUACAAGCGGCCCCUGAGCUUCAGGACCACCUGUCCGGCACCAGCAGAUGCACUAUGGGGACACGGCCUCCACCUCCCCGGCUCAGUGCUCCACCUGCACUACCCAGGAUCCCAUGGCGGGUCCAGCCCUCCCACUGGCCUGUGGCACCGCAUCUUCCCUUCCUGCCCAGCUCCAUCGGGCCUACUAGAGCCCCACAGCCUCGUGCUGCUUGGGGGCUCACGCUGAGCAAGAUGUGGGCAGCCCUCCAGGAGCUCACAGCUGCAGGGAAGAGACAUGGCAGGAGGCCCAUCAUGCGGCCAAGGUCAGGGUAGAGGCAGAGACGGAGAGAGAGAUGGAGGGAGAGACGGAGAGAGAGACAGUGAGAGACAGAGAUGGAGGGAGACAGAGAGAGAGAGAGACAGAGACACAGAGGGAGAGAUAGAGGGAGAAAGAGAAACAGAAUGGAAUUCCCUGGAGACUCAUUCCAUUCCCUGGAAUGGAGAUUCAAGAAGGCUUUGUGUCUUGGAAAGAAGUAGGGUCUAGGGAGACAGAAUAGUAAUGAUGGUGUGAGGCCUAGAUGCCCCCGCCUGCAUGCAGCACCCAUGGGGGGUCACAAUGCUCUCAUGAUGCAGUCUGUCCCCACAUCCCCAGCCUGGAUGAGGAGAUGAGGCCUGGAGCCCGCAGGUACAUCUGCUGAUCCCCCACUCCCCACCCCACCAGCCCGGGUGCCCGGGAGGAUGAGGUCUGUGAGGCUCUGGGGCAGGAGCAGCCAGUGUGUGUGUAUAGGUGGAGGGCCCAGCCAGUGGAAGGUCCUGCUCUGCCCAUGGGGUGGGGGUGGGGCUGCUGUACAAGGCCCCCCCUUCCCCCCGCCCCGUGCUGCCACCAUGCUCCCUGGGCUCUGCGCUGUAGGCUCCAUGGUCUGUCCCCACGGAUGGCCACGCUCAGACCUCCCGCGGCCAUAGCCUGACAUGCCCACCCUCCUGAGCAUAUCUGUAUUUUAAAAGAGAACAGUGUGCUUGAAACAGAACCUUCUGGGUGGCUGUGGUGGCCGGGCCCCAAGAGAGUGGAGAAACGGGACACAUGAUGUUGGGCAGCAGAGCCGCCAAGCACCAGGCUGUGGUGUCUAGAGCGCUCAUGGCCGGGGGUCCUGGGACUGUGGGCUGGAGGGAGGUCAGAAGCUAAGACCAGCAGGAUGCUCGCGUUAGCUCGCUGCAGUGGCGAUGUGCUCCCUCGAGGAGGAGCAGGUGGAGAUGAAGAGCACAGGAGCCAGAAAGCAGCACAGGUCUCCCCACCAGGUCUCCCAGGACUGGCUGACCAUCUCUUCAGAUGAA